CAUUUACAUGGUAGACCAACGAGACACAGUUGCUGUCCAUAAUCCUAAAUCAUUUGUAAUUAUAAAACAUUACUCUUCAUGGGGAGACUAAUAGGAAAUAUUGCCCAGUACCCCAGAUUUCUGUAUCCCGCUAGAAACUUCUCUCACCAGCCUCUGCUGGAUUUAAAGAUGAAAGCCUUUUUGUCAUGGUGCUCCAUGAACAGUCAGACACAAGCAAGAAGUUCAGCCCCAUAAAUAACAGACACACUAGAAAACCAUAUUUUCCCCCUGCCACAUCUGUCAGGAAAAAGGGAAAAAUGGGACAACUACCAAGCUGGCAUGCAGGGCAGUUCCCUGUUCUGCUGGCAGUAUGUUCCAGUAAGAGCCUUGAAAGCUAAUCUCAUUUUCUUGUUAGUUUCCAGCCUCUUGAUCAGUGCAGAUGCGGGACCCUUCAGUACAAUCUCACGACUGGGAUGAGAAGUGGCCCGGAGAAUCCAUUAGCUCUCCAAACCCCGUGGACUGUGUUUAUCGCCUGGCAGAUAAGGGACAAAUUGAAGAAGAAAUCUGAGUCUUCUUCCCACUCUGCCUAGACACAUCUUACUCUUCACCGCUGCAAGUUUCGCGCACCGCUUCCCAGCCAGGUCUGCUCCCCUUCCACCCCACCCUCCUCUCCGUCCCUGGAUUUCCCCUCACGGAGUUCUUCCGAGCCGCUGUAGCAGCAGGCGAGGCUCGGGGCCCCGCUCCGGACCGCGCGGCUCCAGAGCCGCCCCGGGGGCUCGUUUGGGGCUGGGAACACGAGGGGACCCUUCUAUCCCGGGAGCCGCAGAGGAGUUGGCUUCCAACGCUACCGGUCCUGCCGGAGGACGCCCUAAAGGAAGCAGGACGAAGGCUCUUCCUGGUGGUAUUUCUAAGCUCAUAUGCAGGAUGUUGAAGAGACUGUCUCACACAAAAGUCUUCAAAGGCUGCAGGGACUUCUUUGGCAGUGAGAACUAAAGCAUGACUGCCAUCCAGGAAGUGACUGGUUUUUUCCUUCCAUUUCCCUGAAAAACUUGUGAAAUUCCUGAGAAGCACAACUUUUUUCUGAAGUUCUGAAGAUUUUUUCUGAGUUCUGAAGCUCAUAUGAACAAAAAGGAGGACAUUUUUUUUUUUAGCUCUGC
rnacentral:lncRNA from 1 species